GAGCAUCAGCUUAAUGUGAUAGAUCAACGCUGGAAAAGGUCUAGAGCAUCUGCUUUAGCUUCUCUAGAACUUGGGAACAAGCAGGUGGCCCUAAAGUGUGCAAGGGAGAUGAAGUUGGCUUCUUUGAGUAGAGAAAAAUGUACAGCAUUACUAAACCGAGUGGAGGAAGUCCUUGCAGUUAUUGCUGAUGCAGAAGCCUCAAAGGAGGUUGCUGAAUCCAUUCGAAUUGGCACACAGGCUAUCAAGGAAAAUGGGAUCAAUUAUGAUAAAGUUGAGCUGUGUCUACAAGAGCUGAACGAGUGUAUUGAAUCGCAGAAGCAGAUUG
rnacentral:misc_RNA from 1 species